rnacentral:rRNA from 1 species
GAUGAACGCUAGCUACAGGCUUAACACAUGCCAGUCGCGGGGCAGCAUGGGGGUUGCUUGCCAUCCCCGAUGGCGACCGGCGCACGGGUGAGUAACGCGUAUCCAACCUGCCCUUCACCACGGGCUAACCCGGCGAAAGUCUGACUACUGCCGUAUGUUGUCCCUUGACGGCCUCCGAUUUGGACGCAGUGUUUGGCGCUGAAGUAUGGGGAUGCGUCCGAUUAGCUGGACGGCGGGGUGACGGCCCACCGUGGCGACGAUCGGUAGGGGUUCUGAGAGGAAGGUCCCCCACACUGGAACUGAGACACGGUCCAGACUCCGACGGGAGGCAGCAGUGAGGAAUAUUGGUCAAUGGGCGUAAGCCUGAACCAGCCAAGUAGCGUGCAGGAUGACGGCCCUAUGGGUUGUAAACUGCUUUUAUGCGGGGAUAAAGUGGCCCACGUGUGGGUUUUGGCAGGUACCGCAUGAAUAAGGACCGGCUAAUUCCGU